CUCUCCGACGGUCACCUCCACAUAGUCCACGACGCCAGACUCCUCGUUCUCGUCGCUGCCCUGGCCGUCUCGGCUGCUGCCCUCUGACCUGUCCGAGGCGGCCUCUGAGGGCCUGGCUGCAAUAACCUUGUUUUUUCAAAAAGCAACAAGACUAAAGAUUAA